rnacentral:tRNA from 1 species
GACUCAUUAGCUCAGUCGGCAGAGCACCUGACUUUUAAUCAGGGUGUCCGGGGUUCAAAUCCCCGAUGGGUCACCA